CCUGUGCGUCUCCUCUCCUCUGGCGUCCACACUCCAUGCAGCCGAUUCCAGAGACAGACACUUCUCCUUAACGCUAAAAGAGCUGGUCACAGAUUCCUAGCUCAGGCUUGGUGACCUUGCGGCCGUUCAUGAGCUUUGUGGUCUCCGGUCUCGUACGUGUGGGCUGCCUUGUAGUUCCUCGCUCUCUAUUCUUGCGUGAAGCGCUUUAUUGACUUACAGCUGGGUGCGAGGUUUGUUUUCCUCCUGCUGCUCCUGGUUCAGAGCGCGGCCUUGGUUUCCAACCGGGCCUCCUCUUUUCCCCUGAUUUGGUACUCCUCUCCGGAUUUUCGCGUUCCUCUCCCACUUCCUACUGGCUCCUUGUCUGCCGCUGCGGAGCACUGUGAGCAGGGUGACGUACAGACUGUUGGACCGAGCGACCACUUGAGGGCGCUGGUGCCUUCCACAAAGACUAAGUGUGCGCUCUAAAACAAAAUGAAACCAAAACAAAUUGCUGUGUGAAAGUGUUUGGGUGGAAAAUAUUUUAAACCAACCGGAAAUGUUUGAUUUGAUUAAUACACUGUAAAAUAAAGGUUAUAUUUUUUUUCUAAAUUGCCUCUGUCCUCUUCAGUCCACCUACUUGUGCUGCCUUAUUUAACUGCGGGGUUAUUUUAGUUUAGUUGCUGGUUAUACCAGCUGGCGUUGUCAUUGUUUACAGUUUCUAAGUUAAUGUUUAUAUCAUCCCACUUCUGACGCCGCUCGGCUACACAUAGAUUACAAUGGAUUUCUGAUGUACCCUCUU